UCUUCGCUAGUAUAUCGGUUAGUAUAAUCGCCUCUCAAACGAGACUUCUUCACUCAGAAGUGAUCGCGAUAGAGCAGGGUUCGACUCCCUGGCGGAGAA
rnacentral:tRNA from 1 species